GCCGGGCUUGGUGGUGGGUGCCUGCAAUCCCAGCUACUCAGGAGGCUGAGGCAGGAGAACUGCUUGAGCCCAGGAGGCUGGGUUUGCAGUGAGCCAAGAUCAUGCCACUGCACUCCAGCCUGGGCAACAAAGCAAGACUUUGUCUCAU
ensembl:misc_RNA Metazoa_SRP Metazoan signal recognition particle RNA